rnacentral:rRNA from 1 species
UAUUGGACAAUGGGGGAAACCCUGAUGCAGCAACGCCGCGUGAGUGAAGAAGUAUUUCGGUAUGUAAAGCUCUAUCAGCAGGGAAGAAGAAAGACGGUACCUGACUAAGAAGCCCCGGCUAACUACGUGCCGGCAGCCGCGGUAAUACGUAGGGGGCAAGCGUUAUCCGGAUUUACUGGGUGUAAAGGGAGCGUAGACGGCUGUGCAAGCCAGAUGUGAAAGCCCGGGGCUCAGCCCCGGGACUGCAUUUGGAACUGUGUGGCUGGAGUGUCGGAGAGGCAGGCGGAAUUCCUAGUGUAGCGGUGAAAUGCGUGGAUAUUAGGAGGAACACCAGUGGCGAAGGCGGCUUACUGGACUGUAACUGACGUUGAGGCUCGAAAGCGUGGGGAGCAAACAGG